CAGCUGGGCACGUCCCCCACGUCCUCUCCUUCCAGCCUCUCUUAUUUAUUUGUUUUCCCGAAGAAGCAACCAAGGAUCCAAGCCUAAAACUUUGUUCCCCCUAAAGCGAGACGGGGCCAGAUCCUAUCCAACACACAGUGUAAUUUUCAUGGGGCUUUGAGAUCAAAAGACCAGAAACAGCAACAACAAAAGCCCAGUCGCUGUCUGAUUUAAAACUGGCAAAGUGGGAAAAAUAAAGUGUUGAGUAGACAGACCGAGUUGGACAUGGGGAGUUUCAGAGGUCAUGCCCUCCCUGGAAGCUUCAUCUUUUUCACGGGUGCUUGGUGGACUGCAAAGUGCAUUCUCAAGUAUGCCUGCAAAAAGCACAAGCGGACUUCCUACCUUGGUUGCAAAGCGUUAUUCCAGCGAAUAGAAAUUUUAGAGGGAAUCAUACUGAUCUGCAUGGCUUUAACUGGCAUGACUGGGGAACAGUUCGUUCCUGCAGGACCCCACCUGGUCCUAUAUGACCAUAAAGAGGGCCAGUGGGUCCAACUCCUGAGCUGGCAUCAUUUCACCAUGUAUUUCUUCUUUGGCCUGCUGGGUGUGAUGAACAUCUUAUGUUUCACCAUCAGUUCACUUCCUACGUCCUUAACCAAGUUAAUGUUGUCAAAUGCGUUUUUUGUGGAGGCCUUUAUCUUCUACAACCACACGCAUGGCCGGGAAAUGCUGGACAUCUUCUUGCACCAGCUGCUGGUCUUGGUCACUUUUUUGGCAGGCCUGGUUGCCUUCGUGGAGCUCUUCACACGGACCAAUGUAAUUGUGGAGCUUCUGCGGACAAGCCUUGUCCUGCUUCAGGGGAGCUGGUUUUGGCAGAUUGGUUUUGUCCUUUAUCCCCCCAGUGGUGGUCCUGCAUGGGAUCCAAACGAUCAUGACAACAUUAUGUUCCUCACCAUAUGCUUUUGUUGGCAUUAUGCAUUAACGUUUAUUGUCAUUGGAGUGAUUUAUGCUUUUGUCACCUGGCUGACAUCUGGGCCUCAUCUCCUAUGGGGCUGGGCAACCUCCAAGAACAAUGCCAGCAUUCAAGAGACCUCUCCACUUCAUAUCCGCUCCCUCCCAGAGCCCAAAGAAGACUACUGUCUCUUUCUGUUUCAGAAAUCUUCAGACCCCUAAUGAAUCUCUUAUCAACUUACAGUUCUCUAGAAACCAGAAACUCCAUACUUAUGCCCUCCUGCCCAUGACACCUUUAACUUUUGACCAUGUAGUUCUCUCUACCUGGCAUAUCCAAAUUAAAGGCCCAUCUCUUCUACAAACACUUCUGUGAAUAUUCUAGCCCCUGCUCAUCUCCCUCCAUGAGUUUUUUAUAGAACUCUAGUCUCUACCACAGAUUUUAAGAGUUGUGAUCUAUCUUGGGAGGUUUACUAGUAGCUCAUUUAGUCUUUUCUGCUGGCUAGAUUUUCUUUUCCUUGAGGAAAAGACCCUUUUCAUAUUUCUCACAGCUCUUGGCACACUGUCAAACACAUAAAAGGUACUCAAGAAACACUUAUUUGCUAUUUUAAUAGAUCUGUUUCAGAGUUACUUGAAUAUAGGCUUUGUUUGCAGAUCAUGUUUUAUAUGCUUUUGAGUUUUGCUCUCAUAUUGCUCUCGGAAAUAUAAGACCAGGAAGAGCUCAUGUUCUGAUAUAUUUUGAUAUAAAUAAGCAGUAGCUUAAAAAAUAUCAGGACGAUUCAGUCUGACUUUUGGUGAGGUCUCAUGGCAGCUAAUUCCGUCCUCAAACCACAAGGAGCUUUGAAGAUCUGUCUGUCAGGCUUUGACUGUGGAGUGGUUUGUAAUUCAGUCCCAGGUGAUGGAUUUUCAGACAUUAUAUCAGAAUUUGUUUGACAUAGCACAAAGAUCACCAUGGAAACAAAACUGGGUUAUGGAACGACUGCCCCCAAGUCCCUGAAAAAUGAAGCUGCAUGUCCCACCUUUGCAGAAUAUUGGUUCAGAGAUUGCCUCAUCCAGUCCCAUGCCUAGGGUCCUGAUUGUGACAACUCAGAGAAGAGACCUAUCUGUUUCAAAAUCUUAUUGUGUGUUUUACUAUAUCUCAUAUUUAAAUACCACUUUGCAUAGAACUAUUUCAAAAGCUCCUCUUUAUGGUAGAGAAAUAUCGCCCAUUUCCAGAUUGCUUUGCUAAGCAAUGAUUCAUGUGAGCCAUUUUGAAGAACAGGAGAUCGCUUGCCUUCAGGAAGGUUGGUUUUCAGAUCAACUCUCAAGGUGCACCCGGAGUCUCAGCACCACUCUUUCUUAUAUUAAUUGAAGAGAACUUAUGGGAACAAAAGCCCAGACACACCCUCACCCUGAUUUCCUGGACUUGCGUCAUUCCAGGAACUAGCAAUUAUUUGCACUUCGUCUUUAUUACUGUAUCCCUCAAUCUGUCCCCACUGGCCAUUUCUGCAUGUGCCAAUAUCUAAGGCUACAGGAUGAAGACAGAGCUUGAACAUGCCUCAGCUUGGUGGCUUGUAGCAAUAGCAGAUAGAACCCAGAGUGGAGGAGUGGGAAACAGAAGGGGUCAGUAGGGUCUACGUUAAUAAUUAAUUUGUAAUUCAGGAGCCACGUCUGUGUUUUAUUUUCCAUAAGUCAUCGGGAAUGAAUCUAAUGAGUGAAUUAACUAAUUAACCCAUUUCAUUUAGCAUGUAUUGAGGCUGGGCAAUGUGGAGAUAACUGUGUGGGUGUAAAAAUGACACAAGCAUUAUCCCUGUCUUUAAAUUAUUUAAGACUAUUAGCCAUUCGUGAGAAUAGUGCCUUGAAGAGUUGGAGACAUUGGGAGCAACAUCAAUAGUCAAUUAAUAAUCAAGGCAAAUGAUUUCAAAUGGUUUUCCUUGGCUCUUGAUGGGUCAACAGACGUUCCUGAUGCUGCUCAGUUGUUGUAUAUGGGGGGAGCUAAUGCUGAGCUGGAAGGGACUGAAGAAUUAACGUCUGUGAGUAGGUGACUGAUAUGAACUUUUGGCAGAUUGCUCCAAUGGCUACUGACUCAUCAAAUGUGUGUGAGUCCCUAUUAUGUAGCAGACUUUGUUCUGGACUCUGGUUAGGGUUAGGGCAGCGAAGAAAACGAGGUCUCUGUUGUUAUGAUGCUUAUAUCCUAAUGGGAUCCAAAGCAGAAGUAAAGGCAUUGCAUAUCGAGAGGGGCAGGCCAGACCUUCACUGGAAGAAGAAAGGCAGAAAAUAAGAGUAAACAUGCAGAGAAGCCAGUGGAGUUUUUCAAAAAAUGAGAAUGAUUUUGAUGGUUUGGUUUAUCAAGUUUGUUUGCAUAUCCCUAUGUAUUUCUAGAAGUUAACUAUGUUUUGUUGAUAUGGUCACGGUACAAUGUCUUUACAAAUAAUUAUGCACAGGAAAAGCUUUGCCUAGUUCUUCUGACAUCAAAGAAGUGAAGAGCCUGCUGAGGUUCUGCUGCUAAGCAGCUUGGCAUCUUCCAAUAUCAAAAAUUAUAACCACUGCUUUCCCCCAACCUGGAGAUUCUCUUAAUCUGUGACAACAGUCACAAGGGUGAGGGCACUUCUUCCAACUUCUGACUUCAUCACGGACUGUCUCAUGCAGUUGAGCAGCCUGUGGCCUGCACCAAAGCCCCCCUCUGAAGGUGCAAGUAGGGGCUGCAGUACAGCCCAGACUGGACAUGGUGCUGGCAGGGGAAGCGGUCGCUUGCAUGCACUUCCUGCACACGAGAGGCUCCUUUUUGGAGCACACAGCUCCAUGCGCAUUGAUGGAGAAGCUCGGCAGAACCUGAUUUCAUCUGGGAUUGCUACAGCCCUGAGAUUCUCUUAUUUGUUUCAGAAAUGAUCAAAGUUAUGAAUGAUCAGACAUCUUCUAUUGCAUCUGUUUACUUAUAUCCUGCUUUAAUCCACAAACAAUUUUCAGGUUGGUUACAUCUCGACUGCGGAGAUUCUGCCCCUCAGAAGUUGGACUCCUGAAAACCGCUGACCGAGAACAAGAAUCAGAAGAAGAGAUGCGAUUUUGAUGGGCCUCUGGUCUUUCUGGAAGAACUUUUUCUCUUUUGCAUUGUUUUUGUUGCAUGGCCUUUUGUUUAGAGAACAACUGCCUGAGGAUGAUUCUUGGCAUAUUGCUUGUAUUUCCAAUUUUGUUGAAGUAUUUGAAUUCAAACAUUUUAUUUUUAGGUUGGAAAAUAUUUUGGAUGAUAAAUUCAUUUUGCACAUCAGUCAUGGUAUUUGGGGUGCACAAUGACUCUUCUGAGGACUUCUAAAUUUUGAUGUCCAUGCUUUGAAAAAUAUUGGUUUUAUUUGUCUUAUAGAUAUGCUCAAGGUUCCUGAGCUUGCUACCAUUUGUAACUCGUUAAACGUGGAAUCACGGUUGUUUAUCUUGUUGCUGCAAUGAGAAAUAAAUGAGUGCAUGAACCUUG